rnacentral:tRNA from 1 species
GGUUGUACAGCUCAAGUGGUAGAGCGUGUGCCUAACAUACACAAGGUCCUGGGUUCAAUCCCCAGUACCUCCU